AAUAACGGAACCAGUACCACCAGCAGUACCAAUAACUCCAAUAAUAUGAAGGAUCAAGUCCUUAGAAGCAAUACCCUCAGGCAAUUUACCGUUUACACGAAUGCGCAUGUUUUUACUCUUGCGUUGCAAAAUGGUUUGAGUGGCCAAGACAUGUUCGACCUCACUAGUACCGAUACCAAAAGCCAAAGCACCAAAAGCGCCGUGGGUAGAGGUGUGAGAAUCACCACAAACGAGGGUCGUACCAGGGAGAGUGAAGCCCUGUUCAGGACCAAUAACGUGAACGAUACCUUGACGUCUGUCAUUCAUACCAUAGUAGGUAAGACCAAACUCCUUAAUGUUAUUUUCCAAAGCCAAGACUUGAGUGCGUGAGUCAGGUUGAUGAAUGAAGGAAGCGAUAUCCUUCAUGUCCUUACGAGGAUCGGUAGGAAUAUUGUGAUCGACAGUUGCAAGAGCAAGUUCGGGAUGACGAACUUUUCUACCAGCAGUACGAAGGCCCUCAAAGGCUUGAGGAGAAGUGACUUCGUGAAUCAAGUGUCGAUCAAUAUACAACAAACAUGUACCAUCCUCUUGAAGGUCGACAACGUGGCUGUCCCAAACCUUGUCGUACAAAGUUUUAGGAGAAGCAACUGAGGGAGACAUAUUACAAAUGAAUAUAAAAUAAAAAAAUUAGAAUAGAACAAGGAAGGCACCAAAAAAAAGAAUAGAAAAAGCCUGAUAUCAG